UUUGAUUAACAAAAAUAUAAAGCGUGUUUGGACAGAAACAACCCAACUAUAUAUCUUAAACCAUUUUCUUGAAAGCAGUUUAAUUCUACUCUGUAAUUUAACUUAGAUAUCUCAUAAAAAUGAAGACUGUAGUUCUAGUUCUUCUGGUAUGUCUUGCAAGUCUCGUAGCUGUAUCAGAAGGUUGUUGUAAAACGAUGAAUGGUCUAUGCAGUAAUACAGAGAUUUGCUGCAGCAAAUUAACUUGCGAACAAGAUGAAAAGGACCCCGGCACAAAAGUAUGCAAGCCAGUACCGGGAAAAGAGUAAAUCAAUUAUAAGAAGAAGAUCCAGUACAAAAUAAAAAUGUGUAAUAGACAA